UACGUAGGUGGCGAGCGUUGUCCGGAAUUACUGGGUGUAAAGCGCGUGUAGGCGGCAGGCCAAGUCGGUGGUGAAAGCGCCCGGCUCAACUGGGCGAGGUCCAUGGAAACUGGUCAGCUGGAGGACGGUAGAGGCGAGUGGAAUUCCCGGUGUAGUGGUGAAAUGCGUAGAGAUCGGGAGGAACACCUGUGGCGAAGGCGGCUCGCUGGGCCGGUCCUGACGCUGAAACGCGAAGGCGUGGGGAGCGAACGGGG
rnacentral:rRNA from 1 species